rnacentral:rRNA from 1 species
UACGUAGGGUGCGAGCGUUAAUCGGAAUUACUGGGCGUAAAGCGUGCGCAGGCGGUUUUCCAAGACAGAUGUGAAAUCCCCGGGCUCAACCUGGGAAUGGCAUUUGUGACUGGAAGGCUAGAGUGUGUCAGAGGGGGUAGAAUUCCACGUGUAGCAGUGAAAUGCGUAGAGAUGUGGAGGAAUACCGAUGGCGAAGGCAGCCCCCUGGGAUAACACUGACGCUCAUGCACGAAAGCGUGGGGAGCAAACAGG